AUGUUAGUGUGGAACUACAGGGGGAACCGCCGGACAGUCUGUGAGGUUUUGGCCCUCUCUAAAGCCAAUUCCCCGGGACUUGUUUUUUGUUUGGAAACAAUACAAGCCUCAACAAAGAUGGAGAAACUCAAGUGGAGGUUACAGAUGAAGGGUUUUGCCAGUGUGUCUAGUGAUGGGCUCAGUGGAGGGCUUGCACUGUACUAGGACGAAAAGCUUCAAGUG
rnacentral:rRNA from 1 species